ACCUGCGGAAGGAUCAUUACAGUAGUCGCCCGGGUUGCCGCAAGGCCUCCCGGGUAACCUACCACCCUUUGUUUAUUACACUUUGUUGCUUUGGCAAGCCUGCCCUCGGGCUGCUGGCUCCGGCCGGCGAGCGCUUGCCAGAGGACCUAAACUCUGUUUGUCUAUACUGUCUGAGUACUAUAUAAUAGUUAAAACUUUCAACAACGGAUCUCUUGGUUCUGGCAUCGAUGAAGAACGCAGCGAAAUGCGAUAAGUAAUGUGAAUUGCAGAAUUCAGUGAAUCAUCGAAUCUUUGAACGCACAUUGCGCCCCCUGGUAUUCCGGGGGGCAUGCCUGUCCGAGCGUCAUUACAACCCUCAAGCUCAGCUUGGUGUUGGGCCCCGCCGCCCCGGCGGGCCCUAAAGUCAGUGGCGGUGCCGUCCGGCUCCGAGCGUAGUAAUUCUUCUCGCUCUGGAGGCCCGGUCGUGUGCUCGCCAGCAACCCCCAAUUUUUUUCAGGUUGACCUCGGAUCAGGUAGGGAUACCCGCUGAACUUAAGCAUAUCAAUAA
rnacentral:rRNA from 1 species